rnacentral:rRNA from 1 species
AUUGAACGCUGGCGGCAUGCCUUACACAUGCAAGUCGAACGGCAGCACGGAGCUUGCUCUGGUGGCGAGUGGCGAACGGGUGAGUAAUAUAUCGGAACGUACCCUGGAGUGGGGGAUAACGUAGCGAAAGUUACGCUAAUACCGCAUACGAUCUACGGAUGAAAGUGGGGGAUCGCAAGACCUCAUGCUCGUGGAGCGGCCGAUAUCUGAUUAGCUAGUUGGUAGGGUAAAAGCCUACCAAGGCAUCGAUCAGUAGCUGGUCUGAGAGGACGACCAGCCACACUGGAACUGAGACACGGUCCAGACUCCUACGGGAGGCAGCAGUGGGGAAUUUUGGACAAUGGGCGAAAGCCUGAUCCAGCAAUGCCGCGUGAGUGAAGAAGGCCUUCGGGUUGUAAAGCUCUUUUGUCAGGGAAGAAACGGUGAGGGCUAAUAUCCCUUGCUAAUGACGGUACCUGAAGAAUAAGCACCGGCUAACUACGUGCCAGCAGCCGCGGUAAUACGUAGGGUGCAAGCGUUAAUCGGAAUUACUGGGCGUAAAGCGUGCGCAGGCGGUUUUGUAAGUCUGAUGUGAAAUCCCCGGGCUCAACCUGGGAACUGCAUUGGAGACUGCAAGGCUAGAAUCUGGCAGAGGGGGGCAGAAUUCCACGUGUAGCAGUGAAAUGCGUAGAUAUGUGGAGGAACACCGAUGGGCGAAGGCAGCCCCCUGGGUCAAGAUUGACGCUCAUGCACGAAAGCGUGGGGAGCAAACAGGAUUAGAUACCCUGGUAGUCCACGCCCUAAACGAUGUCUACUAGUUGUCGGGUCUUAAUUGACUUGGUAACGCAGCUAACGCGUGAAGUAGACCGCCUGGGGAGUACGGUCGCAAGAUUAAAACUCAAAGGAAUUGACGGGGACCCGCACAAGCGGUGGAUGAUGUGGAUUAAUUCGAUGCAACGCGAAAAACCUUACCUACCCUUGACAUGGCUGGAAUCCCCGAGAGAUUGGGGAGUGCUCGAAAGAGAACCAGUACACAGGUGCUGCAUGGCUGUCGUCAGCUCGUGUCGUGAGAUGUUGGGUUAAGUCCCGCAACGAGCGCAACCCUUGUCAUUAGUUGCUACGAAAGGGCACUCUAAUGAGACUGCCGGUGACAAACCGGAGGAAGGUGGGGAUGACGUCAAGUCCUCAUGGCCCUUAUGGGUAGGGCUUCACACGUCAUACAAUGGUACAUACAGAGCGCCGCCAACCCGCGAGGGGGAGCUAAUCGCAGAAAGUGUAUCGUAGUCCGGAUUGUAGUCUGCAACUCGACUGCAUGAAGUUGGAAUCGCUAGUAAUCGCGGAUCAGCAUGUCGCGGUGAAUACGUUCCCGGGUCU